UAAAAUAUGGAACACUUCACGAAUUUGCGUGUCAUCCUUGUGCAGGGGCCAUGCUAAUCUUCUCUGUAUGGUUCCAAUUUUAGUAUAUGUGCUGCCGAAAUGAGCAU
rnacentral:snRNA from 1 species